AGGACAAACGCUGGCGGCGUACCUAAGACAUGCAAGUCGAACGGGCGCUUCACCUUCGGGUGGGUGUGCUAGUGGCGGACGGGUGAGUAACGCGUAGGAACCUGUCAUCAAGAGGGGGAUAACGCUGGGAAACCGGCGCUAAUACCGCAUGUGGUCAUGAAAAUGAAGAAAGCAGCAAUGCGCUUGAUGAGGGGCCUGCGUCCGAUUAGCUUGUUGGUGGGGUAAAGGCCUACCAAGGCAUCGAUCGGUAGCUGGUCUGAGAGGAUGGUCAGCCACACUGGGACUGAGACACGGCCCAGACUCCUACGGGAGGCAGCAGUUAGGAAAUUUUCCCCAAUGGGCGCAAGCCUGAGGGAGUAACGCCGCGUGGAGGAUGACGGCUUUCGGGUUGUAAACUCCUUUCUGUGGGAAGAGUAGAGACGGUACCGCAGGAAUAAGCCUCGGCUAACUACGUGCCAGCAGCCGC
rnacentral:rRNA from 1 species